UACGGGGGGGGCAAGCGUUGUUCGGAAUUACUGGGCGUAAAGGGCUCGUAGGCGGCCAACUAAGUCGGAUGUGAAAUCCCCAGGCUUAACCUGGGAACUGCAUCCGAUACUGGAUGGCUUGAAUCCGGGAGAGGGAUGCAGAAUUCCAGGUGUAGCGGUGAAAUGCGUAGAUAUCUGGAGGAACACCGGUGGCGAAGGCGGCAUCCUGGACCGACACUGACGCUGAGGCGCGAAAGCUAGGGGAGCAAACGGG
rnacentral:rRNA from 1 species